rnacentral:lncRNA from 1 species
GUAGUGUUGGGAAGAAAAAAAAAUGGUCAGCUUGGCUCGGGGAGAAAGCCAGUAAAAAAAUAAAAGCAAUCUAUGGCCCAGAGGAAUUUCUUUUUCCUGUUACUCUCAAGACUGUUGGUUGCUGCAAAGGUAGGGCCUGAAUGAGCAGGAUCACAAAAGGCCUUGCAACCGAGCUGCCAUACCACACCAGACAAGCGCAUCAGAACUCUCGAUAGCCAUCCCAGGUCUAAAGCCACAAGUUUCUAUAGAGUCACAGCCGCAGUAGGCAGUGAGGAAGCCAGGGAGAUGGAAAGCAACAGUUCUCGAAAGCGGGUUCUUGAGGAUGUAUUCACUUUUUUUGCUGCUGCUGUUUUCUUCCGUGCCAACCAGCCAGUUCCUAGGAGACACAGCAGGUUGAGUAGGAACGAGGUCACCUCUUGACCUGACCACUGGAGCUUUGCUCGCUACGUGACAGGAAGGGCAACGGCGAAGGACACCAGGCAUUUCCAGGGGCUACACUUCAUUGUUCCUUGUUGUUUUCUUCUGUGCUAUCAUUGGUUGUUCAUAGUUUUGUUAAAGCUCUAGCUUAAGAAGAAACUUUUGAGAAAAAGAAAAAAAAGGACUGUUUGGGAUUUUUUUUCCUUAUUAUAUACUGAUUCUACAAAAUAGAAACUACUUCAUUUUAAUUGUAUAUUAUUCAAGCACCUUUGUUGAAACUCAAAAAAAAAGAUGCCUCUUUAAACUUUAGCAAUUAUAGGAAUAUUUAUGUAACUAUCUUAUGCUUCAAAAACAAGAGUAUUUGUGUGCAUGUGUAUAUAAUAUAUAUACAUAUAUAUUUAUACACAUACAGUUUAUGUUUUCCUGUUGAAUGUAUUUUUAUGAGAUUUUAACGAGAACAAAGGCAGAUAAACAGGCAUUCCAUAGCAAUGCUUCCGAUCACUUAGGGUUUUUUGAAUAACAUGAUCUCAUUUACCUGCAGUUUAAUUGCAAAGGAAAGGGUGUGUGUGUGUGGGUGGGUGGGUGUGUGUGUGGGUGUGUGUGGGUGUGUGUGUGUGUGUGUGUACAUGAGCGUGAGUGUAUACAUAUGGAGCAACCAGCAGUUCACAUGCUAUGGAAAGGAUAUUCCUUUAUUAAUUUUUUUCUUCUUCAUUUGGAUUUUCUUUCACCUGGUUUCCAGUUUGCUCACUGACCAGAGGCAAUGAUGCCAGCAUUGUGUCUGCAUCACUAAUCAGCUCCUGGAUUUUUUUUUCUUUUCUUUCAAACAACUGUUUGAAACAACUACUGGAAUAUUGUCCACAAUAAGCUGGAAGUUUGUUGUAGCUUGCCUCAAAUAUAACUGACUGUAUGCUAUAGUGUUAACUUUUCAAACAGCUCUUAGCACUUUUAUACUAAUGACCCACUCGUGCAUUGAUUUUCCUUUAAAAAUGCUUGUUGUGAAAGACACGGAUACCCAGUAUGCUUAAUGUGAAAAGAAGAUAUGUUCUGUUUUGUAAAGGAACUUUCAAGUAUUGUUGUAAAUACUUGGACAGAGGUUGCUGAACUUAAAAAAAAUUAAUUUAUUAUUAUAAUGACCUAAUUUAUUAAUCUGAAGAUUAACCAUUUUUUGUCUUAGAAUAUCAAAAAGAAAAAGGUGUUCUAGCUGUUUGCAUCAAAGGAAAAAAAGAUUUAUUAUCAAGGGGCAAUAUUUUUAUCUAUUUCCAAAAUAAAUUUGUUAAUGAUAUAAUGUUACUGAGAUAGAUUUACAUCAGCCUAAUUAGAAUAAAAUUUUGUUGACAAUUUAUCCAUUCCUGGCAUAAGAGAAAAAAAAAAGAACUUUAUCAAAAAAAAUUGUAAAUGCUUGCUUUUUGUUUUUUUUUUUUUUCAAUCAUGCCCAUAUGAAAAUACUAACAGGAUAUAGGGCAAGGUGUAAAUUUUUUUUAUUAUUUUAAAGAUAUGAUUUAUCCUGAGUGCUGUAUCUAUUACUCUUUUACUUUGGUUCCUGUUGUGCUCUUGUAAAAGAAAAACAAAUAUAAUUUCCUGAAGAAUAAACCGGGCAUAUAGC